AGUUGAGAAACUGCAAGGAACACAAAAGACUCAAACAACAGAGUUCGAGGGUCUACUUGCUAACUCUGGGACCUAUGGCAAAACCCAAAUGAACCACCAACUGGUCUCACUCUGUCAUCCAGGCUGGAGCGGUGCCAUCACAGCUCACUGCAGCCUGGACCUCCCAGACUCAAGUGAUCCUCCCACCACAGCCUCCCAAGUAGCCAGGACUACAGGUGAGUGCUCUGCUAAGCUCUGCAACAAGUUCCAAGCUAGUAGUGGCCAGCUACUCAGCUUUCUCAGGAAACUCACCUUCUCUCCUUGGAGUGAUGGGACUGAGUCCCGCAAACUGUGAAAGCUGUCUUUGAUGUGGUCCCUACGUUUUCGUUCCAGUGCAUUAUGAUGAGCCCGUUUGUCAGCCUAGAAGAAUGGGAGAAAGAACACAUUAGGAAUGUCACUCCUUUUGCUUGGUACAAGGUGGGUGGGGUACAGCCUGGAAGUACACGCUGUCAGCACUGUCCCUGGCGAGUGGACUGGGAAGGAUUUCUCGAGGUGGGCAGUUAGGAGUCUCCAGAAUUAGGCUCUGCUAAAGGGGGAGAAAGGGGUGAGCAACGCUUGCGACAGGAACAUCCAAAGUAGCUCGAUGCAUCCAGCUCAUGCAUAAGUAAAAUAAAAGUUAUUCAGGGGGACAAAGUGUGACUCUCCUGUAACAUCAGUGGUCCCCCCCAACUUGCUUAUGUGACAGAAGAGCCACCAGUCUGUGGUUAGGAAGUGACUAGAGAAAGCUCCAGUGGCCCCUUCUUAAGAUGUGAUCACCUCCACUGUAAGAGAUUCCCCAGAUGGGUGUCCAGGGGAAGAAAGAGUUAAGUCACUGGUGCUUCUUUAAUGUGAAACCAUCACCAUGAGUCCCAAGCCC
rnacentral:lncRNA from 1 species